GACGAACGCUGGCGGCGUGCUUAACACAUGCAAGUCGAACGGUGAAGCUCCAGCUUGCUGGAGUGGAUCAGUGGCGAACGGGUGAGUAACACGUGAGCAACCUGCCCCUGACUCUGGAAUAAGCGCUGGAAACGGCGUCUAAGACUGGAUACGAGAAGGGUCCGCAUUGGCACUUUCUGGAAAGUUGUUCGGUUGGGGAUGGGCUCGCGGCCUAUCAGCUUGUUGGUUGGGUAAUGGCUCACCAAGGCGACGACGGGUAGCCGGCCUGAGAGGGCGACCGGCCACAAUGGGACUGAGAGACGGACCAGACUCCUACGGGAGGCAGCAGUGGGGAAUAUUGCACAAUGGGCGAAAGCCUGAUGCAGCGACGCCGGGUGAGGGAUGACGGCCUUCGGGUUGUAAAACGCUUUCAGCAGGGAAGAAGCGAAAGUGACGGUUCCUGAAGAAGAAGCACCGGCUAACUACGUG
rnacentral:rRNA from 1 species